GCUUAACACAUGCAAGUCGAUCGGUAACGCGGGGGCAACCCUGGCGACGAGAGGCGGACGGGUGAGGAACGCUUGGGAAUCUGCCCUUCAGCGGGGGACAACCCGGGGAAACUCGGGCUAAUACCGCAUACGCUCCACGGAGGAAAGCCGGGGACCGCAAGGCCUGGCACUGAAGGAUGAGCCCAAGUCGGAUUAGCUAGUUGGCGGGGUAACGGCCCCACCAAGGCGACGAUCCGUAGCUGGUCUGAGAGGACGAUCAGCCACACUGGGACUGAGACACGGCCCAGACUCCUACGGGAGGCAGCAGUGGGGAAUAUUGGACAAUGGGGGAAACCCUGAUCCAGCGACGCCGCGUGGGUGAAGAAGGCCUGCGGGUUGUAAAGCCCUUUCGGUAGGGACGAAAGCUCUCGACCUAACACGUCGGGAGGUUGACUUAACCUACAAAAGAAGCACCGGCUAACUCUGUGCCAGCAGCCGCGGUAAUAC
rnacentral:rRNA from 1 species